rnacentral:lncRNA from 10 species
GCAGAGGAAUCACUUUAUUUUGCAGUUGCAACUAGCUUAAGUUAUGUAGCUAGAAGUUAUGUAGCUAGAAAGCUGACUUGCACACUUAAAGCUAAUGAAGAGAAAUGCAGGUUUUCCGGGGUAGGUUCUUGGCACUUCUCUGCAAAUAGGUAAAAGGGAAUGGCAGAUAUUCAAGCUUAGGGAGCAAGCAGCAAGGACAGAGCCUUCCCCGUCUCUGUGUGUUGAAGUCAGCAGAUAGCACACCUGCUGCUGCGUGAGUUCCUUCUGCCAAGCAGAGCAGCACAGCUGCAAGACACCCUGCUUCUGGCUCUGAGCUUUGCUUGUCUUCAGGGAUGGAGCCCCUCCCAAGGCAAGUUCAACUGGGUUCUUUGGCAGCCGAAGUCUACACGGACCCUGCAGGGAGCGGUGGAGAAAACACCUUUUUCUUCCUUCCAUGAUAUAGAUAUAUUGAUCAUGAGGAGAGGGCUCACCCCUCACCCGGAGAAGUAGUUGGGGAAGCAAUAUGCGGAAACAAAGCCAUGAAUCUGACAAGAAAUGUACUUAAGAUUGUAUAUAUGGAGAUGAAUACCCAUUGUCCUUUGCACUUUCUGGAUGAUAAAUUAGAAAAGAAAAAUCCAAAGAAUGAAGUUGUGCUAUUUGUCCUCACUUCUGAUUUGGGAAACUAGAGGAAAUUAAGAUGGGAAAAGACCAUGUGAGGACACAGUGAGAAGGAGACCAUAUGCAAAGCAGGAAGGAAGAUCUCACUGGAACCAAAAACCAGCCCUGCUGGCACCCUGAUCUUGGACUUCUAGCCUUUCUCAGAACUGUGAGAAAAUAAAUUUCUGAUGUUUCAGCCACUCAGCCUGUGGUCGUUCGUUAUGCAACCCUAGCAGACAAACAGGGACCUAGCUUAAGAACUGGUUAAAAAUGAGGCCAGUGAGGAAUUUGAUACUCUAUGGUUGGGAAAGUUUGAUUUAUUCUAAGUGCAAUGGAAUGGAGCUGGGGAUAUAAAUUUUGGAUUUACUGGCAGGUGAAACAUAUUUUAAAAUAGACUAAAAUUAAAUUUCCUAAGGACAGAAUGUAGACAGAAAAGAAUCAAGGUUUUAUGACCAAGAUCCAAGUCACUCCAAUAUUUAGAGUUCUCCCAAGCAUUUAAAGAAGGCUUACACUGAUUCUAUGUAGCAUCUUCCAAAAAAUAGAAAUUUUUCACGGCAUCUUUCCAAGUCAUUAUAUGAGGCCAAAAUUACCUUGAUAUUUUAACCAAAGACAGUACGAGAGAAAAAGCUAUAGAUCAAUAUCUCACAUGAACUUAGACAUAACAUUUCUAAACAAAAUAUUAGCAACUUGAAUCCAGAAAUAUGUAAAAAAGAAUUAUGCAACAUAGCCAAGUGGGAUCUAUUCCAGGUAUGCAAUGCUUUUAAAUGUUUGAAAAAAAGUCAAUAUAAUCUACCAUAUUAACAGGCUAAUCACAUGAUCAUAUCAGUUGAUGAAGAUCAAAUCUAUGACAAAAUUUAACACCUAUUUAUAAUUUUAAAGAACCUCUCUAAAAAUAAAAAAUAGAAGGAAAUAUCCUCAAAUUGAUAAAGAUCAUUUACAGAAAACACAAAAGCUAGCAUUACACUUAAUGGUGAGAAUCUGAAUUAGUUCCCCCUAAGAUCAGGACCAGGCAAAGAUGUUUGCUAUCAUCACUCUCAUUCCAUAUAGUGCUGGAAGUUCUCACUGGUGCAAUAAGGCACACAGUGGAAAUAAAGACACUGAAAUUUGUGUUAGUUAAUUUUGUGUUGCUAUAACGGAAUGCCACAGAAUGGAUAAUUUAUUAAGAAAAUUGUUUAUUUCUUACAGUUUUGGAGGCUCAGAAGUUCAAGGUGCAGGGGCCCACAUCUGGUGAGGGCCUUCUUGCUGUAUCAUCCCAUGGCAGAAGGCAAAAGGGCAAGAGUACAAGAUAGAAAGAGAAAGAGGGAUGGGGGAAGGUUGAUAUGAGGGAGCCAAACUCAUCCUUUUUAUCCAGAGUCCACUCCUGAGAUAAUUAAGUCACUUCCGCAAUACAUCAUUAAUCCAUUCAGAGCCCUCAUGACCUAAUCACCUUUUAAAGGUUCCACUUAACGCUGUUGCACUGGGGAUUAAGUUUCCAAUACAAAAACUUUGGGGGAUGCAUUCAAACUAUAGCCAGUUUGAAUGGAAAAAAAUUUAACUGUUUCUAUUUCAAAUGACCUAAUUGUAUACAUAGAAAAUUCCAGGCAAUCUUUUAAAAACUCCCAGAACUAAUGUAUAAGUUUAGCAAGAUCAUAGGAUCCAAGACCAACACACAAAAAUCAAUCAUAUUUUUAUACGCUAGCAAUGAAUAUGUGGAAAACACAAUUAAGAAUACAAGACUAUUUACAAUUAUUUCAAAAAAGAGAGAAAUAAUUAGAUACAAAUCUAAUGUACACAUAGGUCCUCUAUGCCAAAAAUGACAGAACCCAAAGGAACAAAUGCAAAGGACCUUUAAAUAAAUGGAGAGAUGACUUUGUAAUGGAUAGAAAGAUUCAACAUAAUAAAGAUGUCAAUUCUCUCCAACUUCAUCAACAGGGGCAAUUCAAUUCAUAUCAAAAUUCCAAAAAAAUUUUUUUGCAGAUAUAGUAAAAUUUAUUUUAAAAUUUAUAUCUCAAGGCACAGGCCAUGGACUAAGUAAAAUUAUUUUGAAAUUGAAUAAAGUUGGGUAGAUUAUUAUAUCCAAUGUUAAGACUUAAUAUAUGGCUACAAUAAUCAAGAGAGUGUGAUAUUGGUUGGGGGAAUAGACUCAUAGAUCAAUGGAACAGAAGAGAUAACCCGAAACUAAACAACACAAAUAUGCCCAGCUGAUUUUUGCAAAGGUUAUAAAAGCGGUUCAGUGGAAGAACAGUUCUUUCAACAGAUGAUGUUAAAGCAAUUAGAUGUCCAAGGGCAAAUAAUUGAGUCUCAACCUAAACCUAAUACUUCAUUCAAAAAUUAAUUCAAAGUGUAUUAUAGAUUUAAAUAUAAAUGUAAAACUAAAAAACUUUAGCAUAAAACAAAGAAAAAUUUUAGGAAGUAGGGCUAGAUGAGAAGAUCUUAGAUAUGACACCAAAAGCACAACUCAUAAGAGAAUAUAAUUACUCUAUUGGACUUCAUAAAAAUUAAAAACUUUUGCUCUGUGAAAGACUACAUUUAGAGAAUGAAAAGUUAAUCUAAAGUUAAUCUACAGACUAGAGGAAAAUAUUUGCAAAUCACAAGAUUCAACAUAGGGCUUCUACUUAGAAUAUAUAAAGAGCUCUCAAGCUGAACAUUAAAAGAAAAAUAAGCAGGCUGGUCUGAAGAUAGCGAAGUAUCUCAACUGAUUGUUCACAGUUCGUUAAGGAUCUUACUCUUUGUUCUACAAUUCCCCCCUUCUCACUACUGCACUUGACUAAUAAAAAAGCAAUUAAAUUAGAAAAUUUAUAAACAAAAUUAACAAAAGAUUUUUAACUGGGGAGAGAUGAUAUCUCAUUUUAGUUUUGAUUUGCUUUUCUCUGAUAAUCAAUGAUGUUGAAUGCGUUUUCACAUGCCUGUUUGACAUUUGUAUGUCUUCUUUUGGGCAACGUCUAUUCAAAUCUUUUGCCCAUUUUUUAAAUCAAAUUAUUAGAUUUUUUCCUGUAAAAUUGUUUGAGCUCCUUAUAUAUUCUAAUUAUUAAUCCCUCAUCAGGUGGGUAGUUUGCAAAUAAUUUCUCCCACUCUGCACAUUGUCUCUUCACUUUGUUUAUUGUUCCCUUCAUUCUGCAGAAGCUUUUAAACUUGAUUUGACCCCACUUGUCCAUAUCCAAAAGACAGGCAAUAACAAAUGCUGGUGAGGAUGUGGAGAAAAGUGAAUGCUUGUACACUGUUUGUGGGAAUAUAAAUUAGUAUAACCACUCUGAAGAAUAGUUUGGAGGUUCCUCGAAAAAUUAAAAAUAGAGCUACCAUAUGAUCCAGCAAUACCAUUCCUAGGUAUAUGACCAAUAGAAGGGAAAUCAAUAUAUUGAAGAGAUACCUGCACUCCCAUGUUAGCUGAAACACCGUUCAUAAUAGCCAAGAUUUGGAAGCAAUCUAAGUGUCCAUCAAUAGAUGAAUGGAUAAAGAAAGUGUGGUACUUAUACACAAUGGAGAAUUAUUUAGCCACGGAAAAGCAUGAGAUCCUGUCAUUUGCAACAACAUGGAUGGAACCGGAGAUCAUUAUGUUAAGUGAAAUAAGCCAGGCACAGAAAGACAAAGAUCACAUGUUCUCACUUAUUUGUGGGAGCUAAAAUUUAAAACGAUUGAACUCGUAUACAUAGAGUGUAGAGGAUGGUUACCAGAGGCUGGGAAGGGUAGUUGGGGUUGAUAGGGAAGAUGAAAAUAGCUAAUGGGUUAAAAAAAAUGAAAGAAUGAAUAAUACCUGGUAGUUGAUAGCAAAACAGGGUUACUAUAGUCAAAAUAAUUUAAUUGUAUAUUUUCAAAUAACUAAAAGAAUGUAAUUGGAUUGUUUGUAACACAAAGGAUAAAUGCUUAAGGAGAUGAAUACCCCAUUUACCCUGAUGUGAUUAUUAUAUGCAUUGCAUACCUGUCAUCUGGAUGUCCAAGCAGAAGUUUGCUGCAGAGGUGGGGCCUCAUGAAGAACCUCUGCUAGGGCAGUGUGGAAGAGAAAUGUGGGGUUGGAUGCCCCAGAGUCCCCACUGGGGCACUGCCUAGUAGAGCUGUGAGAAGAGAGCCACCAUCCUCCAUACUCCAGAACGAUAGAUCCACCAACAGCUUGCACUAUGCGCCUGGAAAAGCUGCAGACAUUCAACACUAGCCCCUGAAAGCAGCCAGGAUGGGGGCUGUAUCCUGCAAAGCCACAGGGGAGGAGCUGCCCGAGGCUGUGGGAGCUCACCUCUUGUAUCAGCAUGACCUGGAUAUGAGACAUGAAGUCAAAGGAGAUCAUUUUGGAGCUUUAAGAUUUAAUGAUUGCCCCUUGGGAUUACAGACUUGCAUGGAGUCUUAGCCCUUUUGUUUUGGCCAAUUCCUCCCAUUUGGAACAGGUAUAUUUACCCACUGCCUGUACCCCCAUUAUAUCUAGGAAGUAACUCACUUGCUUUUGAUUUUACAGACUCAUAAGUGGAAGGGACUUGCUUUGUCUCUGAUGAUACUUUGGACUGUGAACUUUUGAGUUAAUACUGAAAUGAGUUAAGACUUUGGGGGACUGUUGGGAAGGCAUGAUUGCUUUUGAAAUGUGAGAACAUGAGAUUUGGGAGGGGCCAGGGGCUGAAUGAUAUGGUUUGGUUGUGUCCCCACCCAAAUCUCACCUUAAAUUGUAAUAAUCCCCAUGUGUCAAGGGUGGGGCCAGGUGGAGAUAACUGGAUCAUGGGGGCGGUUUUCCCCAUACUGUUCUCAUGGUAGUGAAUAAGUCUUACGAGUCUGAUGGUUUUAUAAAUAAGACUUCCCCAUACAAGCUCUCUUUUGCCUGCCACCAUGUAAGAUGUGACUUUACUCCUCAUUUGCCUUCCGCUAUGAUUAUGAGGGCUCCCUAGCUAUGUGGACCUGUGAGUCCAUUAAACCUCUUUCCUUAAUAAAUUACCCAGUCUUGGGUGUGUCUUUAUUAGCAGUGUUUGAACAGACAAAUAUACAA